rnacentral:rRNA from 1 species
UACGAAGGGGGCGAGCGUUAUUCGGAUUCACUGGGCGUAAAGGGUGCGCAGGCGGCCGUGUGUGUGAGGCGUGAAAGCCCGGGGCUUAACCCCGGAAUUGCACCUCAAACUACACGGCUAGAGCAUUGGAGAGGGUAGCAGAAUUCACGGUGUAGCAGUGAAAUGCGUAGAUAUCGUGAGGAAUACCAGAGGCGAAGGCGGCUACCUGGACAAUUGCUGACGCUCAGGCACGAAAGCGUGGGGAGCAAAAGGG